rnacentral:rRNA from 1 species
UACGUAGGGCGCAAGCGUUGUCCGGAAUUAUUGGGCGUAAAGAGCUCGUAGGUGGCGUGUCGCGUCUGCCGUGAAAGCCCAUGGCUUAACUGUGGGUCUGCGGUGGAUACGGGCAGGCUGGAGGCUGGUAGGGGCAAGCGGAAUUCCUGGUGUAGCGGUGAAAUGCGCAGAUAUCAGGAGGAACACCGGUGGCGAAGGCGGGUCUCUGGG